AACAGUAGAUCUUCUGCUAAGACCGCAAACGUCCUGUUUGCAACACAGAAGUCAGUACAUCGUGUACG
rnacentral:sRNA from 1 species